CAGGGACUGGAUGCUGAACCAGAAUAGUGCUGAGUCAUUUCUUCUGGCUUCAAGAUUCCCCUGGAAGGAGGCUCUGGAUGCUUGGCCCAGGAGUAGGCCACCGUAUUCUAUUGCAGAAAAUGGCAAGCCACCUAGCUUCAACUCUGCUUGUCCUUUAUUUGCUCUGGCUGACCACUGUGUUCUUCUUAUUCCUUUGAGAGGGAAACAUGCUGAGACAGAUAUUUUCCAGAAAACUUGCUCUGAGUUAAUGCCCAAGAAGAGAAGAAAUGAUUUGAACAGCUAA
rnacentral:lncRNA from 1 species